rnacentral:rRNA from 1 species
AGUGAACGCUGGCGGUAGGCCUAACACAUGCAAGUCGAACGGCAGCACAGUAAGAGCUUGCUCUUACGGGUGGCGAAUGGCGGACGGGUGAGGAAUACAUCGGAAUCUACUUUUUCGUGGGGGAUAACGUAGGGAAACUUACGCUAAUACCGCAUACGACCUACGGGUGAAAGCAGGGGAUCUUCGGACCUUGCGCGAUUGAAUGAGCCGAUGUCGGAUUAGCUAGUUGGCGGGGUAAAGGCCAACCAAGGCGACGAUCCGUAGCUGGUCUGAGAGGAUGAUCAGCCACACUGGAACUGAGACACGGUCCAGACUCCUACGGGAGGCAGCAGUGGGGAAUAUUGGACAAUGGGCGCAAGCCUGAUCCAGCCAUACCGCGUGGGUGAAGAAGGCCUUCGGGUUGUAAAGCCCUUUUGUUGGGAAAGAAAAGCAGCAGGUUAAUACCCCGCUGUUCUGACGGUACCCAAAGAAUAAGCACCGGCUAACUUCGUG